CCUACGGGAGGCAGCAGUGAGGAAUAUUGGUCAAUGGACGAGAGUCUGAACCAGCCAAGUAGCGUGAAGGAUGACUGCCCUAUGGGUUGUAAACUUCUUUUAUAUGGGAAUAAAAUGUUCCACGUGUAGGAUUUUGUAUGUACCAUAUGAAUAAGGAUCGGCUAACUCCGUUCCAGCAGCCGCGGUAAGACGGAGGAUCCGAUCGUUAUGCGGAUUGGUUGGGUUUAGAGUGAGCGUAGGUGGAUUGUUAAGUCAGUUGUGAAAGUUUGCGGCUCAACCGUAAAAUUGCAGUUGAAACUGGCAGUCUAGAGUACAGUAGAGGUGGGCGGAAUUCGUGGUGUAGCGGUGAAAUGCUUAGAUAUCACGAAGAACUCCGAUUGCGAAGGCAGCUCACUGGACUGAAACUGACACUGAGGUUCGAAAGUGUGGGUAUCAAACAGGAUUAGAUACCCGGGUAGUC
rnacentral:rRNA from 1 species